ensembl:rRNA 5S_rRNA 5S ribosomal RNA
GCCAGCAGCCAUAUCACCCUGUAACUCACAACUGACAACCCACUGAAGCUAAGCAGGUGUGAGCCUGGUCAGUACCUGGAUGGGAGACCUCCUGGGAAAAACUAAGGUUGCUGCUGGAA